CACAAGCGUUCUACUUUUCGCCCAAUACCUUAUAAUAGAGGCAGCUGCGAUGACCACAGCAUAGGCAAUGCACUUAUCUGAUGUCUAAAGCAAGAAUGAAGCCUCAUGACACAUUUCUGCGCUUUCCAAUUUAUGCAACAGCACUGGUGUUUUUUGGUGUUCAGAAAGCUGCACAGUCAAGUCCUGCUGUUCGUCUGACUGCUAAUCCUCCAUGGCCAGAUGUGUUCCCAGGAGAGACAAUUACUCUCAGCUGUCAGGUUAUUGAAUCUGAGGGAUGGACAUUUGUGUGGACCAGACACAGAGAAUGGGGUCAAAUACAACUUCCAGCCUCCAGUAGUAACGGCUCUGUGUCUGUGUUGGUCCUGAGUGCUGUGGAAGAGAGACAGAGCGGAAUGUAUCAGUGUGAAGCUGUAAAAGGACGUGAACGAGCCUUCAGUAACAUCCAUACCAUAACAGUCUCUGCUGAUCGUCCUCAGGCUGUCAUAGUCACAGAUCCCCCAGCCUCAGUGAUGUUCACAGGAGAAACUGUUAGCUUAGCUUGUGACAUCAGGAAAGGGUCUGGCUGGAGAUAUUCAUGGAGCAGAAACACCCAGGGAAGAUUAGAGAGCCUCUAUGCCCGCACAACUGAAAGCCUACAAAAGCACAUCCUGCACUCUGUAAGAGAGUCAGACAGUGGAGAGUACCUGUGUCAGGGUGAACGAGGACAAAACCCAGUUAUCCAGUCUUUCCCUGGUACACUUGUGUUAAAUG